rnacentral:rRNA from 1 species
GAGGAAUAUUGGUCAAUGGACGAGAGUCUGAACCAGCCAAGUAGCGUGCAGGAUGACGGCCCUAUGGGUUGUAAACUGCUUUUGUAUGGGGAUAAAGUCAAUCACGUGUGAUUGUUUGCAGGUACCAUACGAAUAAGGACCGGCUAAUUCCGUGCCAGCAGCCGCGGUAAUACGGAAGGUCCGGGCGUUAUCCGGAUUUAUUGGGUUUAAAGGGAGCGUAGGCCGGAGAUUAAGUGUGUUGUGAAAUGUAGACGCUCAACGUCUGACUUGCAGCGCAUACUGGUUUCCUUGAGUACGCACAACGUUGGCGGAAUUCGUCGUGUAGCGGUGAAAUGCUUAGAUAUGACGAAGAACUCCGAUUGUGAAGGCAGCUGACGGGAGCGCAACUGACGCUUAAGCUCGAAGGUGCGGGUAUCGAACAGGAUUAGAUACCCUGGUAGUCCGCACAGUAAACGAUGGAUGCCCGCUGUUGGUACCUGGUAUCAGCGGCUAAGCGAAAGCAUUAAGCAUCCCACCUGGGGAGUACGCCGGCAACGGUG